CCUAUUUUUACUAUUUUGGAUCAUCUUUCUCAUCACUCACCACCUUCCUCCACAUUUUUGGGAUACCGUAACGAGUAGAACCCUACAACUUCGGAGACCACAUAUAAGAUUCAAUAUUUUACUCUACUGGACUCGUUAUUGUUAUUUAUUUUGUACAUUGGCGCGGACCCAUCCCCUAUCUAUUUGUUUUUGCUUAUCUAUUCCUAAGGACAUUUGAGGGAGUCCUUGUUUGGGACUGUUGCCUUUCCGAUUAGCACUACUCUUUGUUUUGCUAUUUCUAUCUAUAUCUAUCUCUAUAUUUCUUU